CAGCCGCCGCGGUAAUACCGGCGGCCCGAGUGGCGGUCACUAUUAUUGGGCUUAAAGCGUCCGUAGCCGGGGUGGGAAGUCCUCCGGGAAAUCUGGCCGCUUAACGGUCAGAAUGCCGGAGGAUACUCCCAGCCUAGGGAGCGGGAGAGGCCGAGGGGACUCCCGGGGUAGGGGCGGAAUCCGUUAAUCCCGGGAGGACCACCCGUGGCGAAGGCGCUCGGCUGGAACGCGCCCGACGGUGAGGGGCGAAAGCCGGGGGAGCGAACCGGAUUAGAUACCCGGGUAGUCCCGGCUGUAAACGAUGCGGGCUAGCUGUUGGGUGGGCUUAGAGCCCACCCAGUGGCGCAGGGAAGCCGUUAAGCCCGCCGCCUGGGGAGUACGGCCGCAAGGCUGAAACUUAAAGGAAUUGGCGGG
rnacentral:rRNA from 1 species